UACAUGGGGUGCAAACGUUGCUCGGAAUUAUUGGGCGUAAAGCGCGCGUAGGCGGUUACUUAAGUCGGAUGUGAAAGCCCUCGGCUUAACUGAGGAAGUGCACCCGAAACUGAGUAGCUAGAGUACGAAAGAGGGUCGCGGAAUUCCCGGUGUAGAGGUGAAAUUCGUAGAUAUCGGGAAGAACACCCGUCGGCGAAGGCGGUUCUCUGGGACGGUACUGACGCUGAGACGCGAAA
rnacentral:rRNA from 1 species